AGCCUCCGCACACCAGGCAUUCCUACAGAGAGCAAAAAAAUAACACUCUGGAGUAUUGUUGUUUGUUUUCUGCUCGAAUGGGAUGAAUGACAGGAAAGAUCCAGAUGCUAUACUGAGCCACCGAGGAGAUGGCAGGCUGUGGUCAUUAUCCCCAGCUAACGACCCGCAUCAUAGCGAUGGUGCGACACAAGACCGAAUUGGUCAUGACAGUCUUCCGCCUGUUGCACUGCUGAAAAGGGCAAUACAGUCUGAAGCUUAGUAAAGGGGGGAUGCGGAGUUUACUUUUCUCAGUUCAGUAAAAUUGUUGAAAAUAAGAGCCCAGGUCAAGUCGACGUGUUUGGUGAUUUUUAAAUUGUUUUGCGGUCAGACAUCUGUUUCAUUUAAUUGGUUUGAGCAGACAGAAAAUGUUUCGAGAUGUUCCUCAUAUACUUUUUCAAACGUCGUUGAUCCUAUAGUGAGUUUUGAAAUAAAAACGAAUCGACGCGCAUUAAUGUAAAACAUCUGACCUUAAAUCGCGUAAGUCGUGUAUAACUUUUGUGGGAUCUUUGCUUUGUGCAACGCGCUCAGGACAACUUGACACUAGAUGUUAAGUGCUUCAUUCAAAAGGAAAAAAAGGCCUUGUUCCAUUUUUUUCUCCUUUUCCCCCGAGUUUUGCUAAUCUGCGUCUGCCUCACAGUUAAAGGACUCUCGAAUUAAGUGCAAGCACUUUGCCCUAGAUCGCCUGUCCUCCAUACACCGCCGCCCAAUGGCUGCCUUCCGUCCCUAUCAAUGGUUUAAAGACUAAUUAUACUACGCCAUGCUGGUGAUAUUGCCCAUAGUCGAAGUUCCGCGAGAUAACUUUUACGUAAUCUGGUGUAUACACUCAUCUUUCGUACACUGGUCCUAUAAUGUGCUUUAUGCUUCAGCAGAUAUAACCUGAACGUUGUCAGAUCAAGUCUCAUGCAGACUUGCUGCUGUAUUGUUGAGCAUGAUCUUUGCUUUUUUUUCUUCAUAAGACUAUGAUGUAUAUAAAGGUAAAACCCACUACAGACAGAAUCAUCAGCAAAGCAGUGAAAUUUCAGUGUUUUUUUGGAGAUUUUUUUCCCCUCCAAACCAGGUCAUUUCGGGAUCUGAGAGCUGUGCUCUUUUUACAGGUGCAGCGUGCAGUUUCCGAGGACAGUCCGGAGCAUAAUAAAGACCUUUGCCCAUUUCAGCUGCUGACAGCACCUUUGAAUGCUAGACUCAGCUGACAAUUAGUGCUUUUUAAACUGCCUCUGGAGAAAAAGGAAAAAAAAAAAAAAACUCAAAGAGGGUCCCCCCCCCCAAGCCUGAAGAGCUUUCUGUCAGAAAAGCUUUUCCCCCCCUUGUUUCUGGAACUUCAGAGAAUAGCAGACUACUUGUGACUGUGCCACAGAGCUUAGAGAAACCUUGCGCUGGAGCCCAGAGGCAUAUGAUUGGGGUUUCACAGAUAAUUACUGAUUCUUAAAGCCAGUGGGAGGUAACCAGGAGCCCUGAGGUUAAAAAAAAGUUCCCCAGCUACUGUGUGCCCCCCCCCCAAACAAGUCAACAAGUCUCUUAAACUCUGGUCUGUGCUCAACAGGUUUGCAUGAACUGCCAGUGAUUUAGUUGCCCCUAUCAAACAGGAGUGCAUCCAAGCAGGUUUCCAAACCCGUCCGGCUGGGUUUGUAGGCAUUUUUUUUUGUCGUCGUAGCACUUUGACAUAGUAGCCCCUUUCAUGCAUGCACAACCCCCCCCAGCUGGGCCACUCACCUGCCUCAGCAAAGGUGAUUAUCUCAGAGGUCUGCUCAGCCAACUCCUCCAUGUCCACCUGGCCGCGGAUCUCGUCCUCGAGUUCCACGCUGCCGUCUUCGCCCACGCGGCCCACGUGCAGCUUCUUGAUGGCAUUGAGCAGGGCAGCCCGCGGCACAGGCUGUGUCACGUUCGGCCGGUCGUCCAGCCGCAGUGUGUUCAGGAUGUGCCUCUUGACCGCCUCCACCAUGUCUGAUGGGCCUUGUGAACCGGGAUCCCUGCCCAGGCGGGCCAGGGCGCAGGAUGGACAGUCCGUUGCCGAAGUUGUCCCGAGCUGUGCCUGCUCCCUCCCGGCCGCGGCCCCCGAAAGGGCAGAGGUGCAGCUGCCGGCCAAAAUCCCAGAGAAGAGAAGUAGCAUUCCACGCAGCAGGGACACUGGAGUCAUCCUGAAUGAGGAGAUGCAGUGCUGGGAAAGCACUGUCAAUAAAAACUUACAUAGAAAAAGGAAAACACAAAAACACUAGCUGUGUGGCCCCUGUUCGAAAAAGAGAUCUAAGAAAAUAUAUCUUUAACUAGACCGAAACACAUCAGUGUGCUGGUGUCUGCGUGUGUAUAUAUGUGUCUGGCUUAUAGAACCAUUAAAACCAGUCUUAAAGUUAAAAAAACAAAAAUCGGAAAAAAUUAAAAAAUCCCAGUUGAGGAGUGGAGGAAAGCGCGCAAGACAGUUCUGCGGUUCUGCUCUGGCUGAGGAGGAGUAGAGCUGGUCCCUCGUAUAGCCCUCGGGAAGUUCGGCUUGGGCCGUCCGUUGUGGAGAUGCCCUAGGGAUGUGCGGAACUCGAGAUGUUUUCAGAGUGCUCAAAGUGCAGGGAUUGAAUGGUUUGUUGGAGUGUGCUGGGUUACUUCUCCCUCCCUCCCUCUCUCUCUCUCUCUCUCUCUCUCUCUCUCUCUCUCGCUGUACUUCUUCCUCUGUCUGUAAUUAUACCUCCCCUCUCUCCCUGCUCCCUCCCCCCCCCCAACCCUGCCCCCCAUUACUAUCUCACUACUUAUGAUUCAUUUUCUGUUUCAAGCUUUUUUUUUCCUACUGAGAUUCACUUUCUAAAUCACGCAUGAACUUUCCUUUACUUUGUUGUCCUUUCCUUUAUGUCCCAAUCAAAUGUUCUGGCAGUGAUGGAGAGAGAGAAAAAAAAACUUCUAUUUUGUGUUGCUUUGAAUCAUAAACCAAGUUUUAUAGCAUUUCCCUGGGUACGUACUCUUGUCAGUCAGUACCAUAAUAGUAGUUAUUUAAUAGUAUAGUAAAUUUUAGGUCAUUCUUUUCAGUUCUAACUGCUAGAAAAUAUUGUCUAGAAACCAUUACUUGGCUGUGCUAGUUUAAAUAUAAAUUCUUAAUGCAUUUUUUAAAGCCUGUAUUAGAUAUCCUUUUUAAAAUCAAUUAAGAUGUCCUACUAUCCAACAUAAUUUAAAAGUACUACCACUUUUAAUGUGUUCCUGUUCAGUUUACAUUUAUGCGACUCUAUUUUUCUCACUGGCCAGCAUAAUUGUGAAACCCAAAACUUAAAUAUGUCUGUGAGUGUCAGUAGUUAUUUCAUUAAAUUUAUAUUAAGAUUUAUUUACUGGUACAUUCUUGGUGGUAUAUUUAUAGAGGUUUGCAUCCAUAAAUGUUCCCUUUGAGGAACGUCUGUGAAUAAACUGAAUAGUGUGUGGUCUAGCAAAGGUCUAUGUCUUCAUUAACCCCGAGAGUACUUUAUUCACAAAUGAAGAAAAUAGGUUGUUCGUUUAAUGUCCGGCUUAUGCAGUUCACAUUUAGUAAUUUACUUAAUUAAAUUGUUUUACAAAACUA